AGACUUGACCUUUGAUUUUUUUCUCCUCUCUCUCUCUCUUCGUUUUUGGGAGAAAUUUUUCUCCCCUUCUUCUUUGGGCUGUAUAAAUUGAAAAUUAUUAUUUCUUGAUAGAUUCUUGUGAAUCUGGUGUGCUACAGUAACUUGGGUGCCAUUUGUUUGAAUAAUCUGUAGUAUAUGUUGUUGUGGCCGAUUUUGGGAGGAAGAAGUGUAGGCGUCCAGAUUUGAGAUCCUCUUUGGAUCGAUGAUUGAUCUAGCUAUUCUAUUUGGUUCUGUGUGUACUGUACUCUCUCUGUGAUGUAGAAUUGCACUAGUAGAUUGGGCUGACUCUGAGCCCCCCCAGAUUAAGUCAUUCGGGCCGAACUGGGUGAAAAUUUCUGCGUGUUCUUUUAUUUUUCUUGCACUUUAUGUUUGUGUUGUUAAAUAUUGCUGUCGGUUUAAGGCAUAAUUCCCUACAAAUCUGGUAUCAGAGCCGCUGAAGCGGUAAGAUAAGGCAUAUUUGAAUACAGUUUGAUCUCUUGUCGUAUUAACACGUUUUCUUC
rnacentral:lncRNA from 1 species